GUCCCAGCUUAAAAAUAAGCUUGGAUCUACAUGCCCUUUCACCAAGGUAGCUAAGCUAUCAUAAAAUACAGCUCCAACAGCAAUGAAGGUGCAGUGAAUUUAAUAAAAGUGAAAGAGCUACUGGUU
rnacentral:ncRNA from 1 species